UGGCAUCUUCUUUGAUUUCUUUAAGGUUUCCUAAGGCUGUCUAUAGGAAAAUGCUUUCUAUAGGAAGAGACUUGUCUGGUCGAUUUUGAAGAGAGAGACGAGGUAGCAACGCGGCAACACAGUAAUCAUCAUAUACGGGUGUCCAAGCUCCUUUGUUUUAAAAGAUAUUUUAGAAAAAUUUGAAAGCAGAGGGAUAUUUGAAAUAGAACCCAAAACAAGGACAGGUUAUGAUUUAACAAAGAAAUUAAAGAUCUUAAAAACACAAGACAUAGAAUGAAAAUUUUGAAAAGAGAAAGAUAUUUCAAAAAACAAGGUUGGUUAGUAGUUUUAACUCCUGC
rnacentral:lncRNA from 1 species